GAUGAAGAACGUAGCGAAAUGCGAUACGUAAUGUGAAUUGCAAAUUCAGUGAAUCAUCGAGUCUUUGAACACACAUUGCGCCCCCUGGUAUUCCGGGGGGCAUGCCUGUCCGAGCGUCAUUGCUGCCCUCAAGCACGGCUUGUGUGUUGGGCCCCGUCCUCCGAUCCCGGGGGACGGGCCCGAAAGGCAGCGGCGGCACCGCGUCCGGUCCUCGAGCGUAUGGGGCUUUGUCACCCGCUCUGUAGGCCCGGCCGGCGCUUGCCGAUCAACCCAAAUUUUUUAUCCAGGUUGACCUCGGAUCAGGUAGGGAUACCCGCUGAACUUAAGCAUAUCAAUAAGCGGAGGA
rnacentral:misc_RNA from 1 species